GACGAACGCUGGCGGCGUGCUUAACACAUGCAAGUCGAGCGGUAAGGCCCUUUCGGGGGUACGACGAGCGGCGAACGGGUGAGUAACACGCGGGUGACCUGCCCUCAGCUCUGGGAUAAGCCUGGGAAACCGGGUCUAAUACCGGAUAUGACUCCAUGACGCAUGUUGUGGGGUGGAAAGCCUUGUGCGGCUGAGGAUGGGCCCGCGGCCUAUCAGCUUGUUGG
rnacentral:rRNA from 1 species